rnacentral:rRNA from 1 species
CUACGGGACGCUGCAGUGGGGAAUCUUGGACAAUGGGCGCAAGCCUGAUCCAGCCAUGCCGCGUGAGUGAUGAAGGCCCUAGGGUCGUAAAGCUCUUUCGCCAGGGAUGAUAAUGACAGUACCUGGUAAAGAAACCCCGGCUAACUCCGUGCCAGCAGCCGCGGUAAUACGGAGGGGGUUAGCGUUGUUCAGAAUUACUGGGCGUAAAGCGCGCGUAGGCGGAGUGGAAAGUUGGGGGUGAAAUCCCGGGGCUCAACCCCGGAACUGCCUCCAAAACUCCCAGUCUUGAGUUCGAGAGAGGUGAGUGGAAUUCCGAGUGUAGAGGUGAAAUUCGUAGAUAUUCGGAGGAACACCAGUGGCGAAGGCGGCUCACUGGCUCGAUACUGACGCUGAGGUGCGAAAGUGUGGGGAGCAAACAGGAUUAGAUACCCCAGUAGUC